GAACCUGGAACAACCUGCUGCUCAGCAUAGCCUUCUGCCAGCUGAACCACGAUUAAACCAGGAUGUAAAAAUGCUGAUUUGGUUAAAAAUAGAGUGGUCUCUUCAUUUUUUCCAUGGCUGUAUAUGAGAUACAUAGGUCUGGAUGAACUGUGUGACUCUGCAGCGGAAAAUGGCUGUUUAGGCCCAUGAUUUGACAGCCUCUAAUCUGGAUGUAAAUUGCCACAUUCUUGCAGGGCACUGACUGCUGUUGUAAAUGUUGUAACUGAUAAUUAUGUUUUUAAUUAUAGUUUGUCAUAGAGAACUUGACAAAUUUCCCCUUGUUUUGUUGGACUAUGGUCUGGAGACCAGGAGGAAGUCACCUUUGGCAACACGGAACGACAGCAGGAAAUGAGCUUCAGUGGUUAUAUGAGCUCUAAUCUGAGUGUCUGUAAAUGACAAGAUGAAGCCUUCGGUAGCACUUCCUUAUACACGUUUGUUUGCGUCUCACUUUGCUGGAUGGAUGGUAUUUGGUCCUUUCCUGCCCCGUUUGGUGGUUGCUAUGGUUUCUUGGUUCCGACUUACUCUUGAGUUUCAGGUUUUUGUUUUUGUCUCCAUUUGCUGUGUGUCGUCCACGUUUGUUUCAUUUUCGUUUGAGUCCUACAGUCCCUCCACACAUAGAUAAUUCUUAGUACAUUUUGAGCUGGGCAACCCUGCCUGUCAGCAUUCUGAGCAACCUCAUGUUCCCAGUACGUUGUGACGUGCCUUGGGCUGUUUGUUGAUUAACUAGUGUUAAUCUUGAGUGUUUCACUACUCACGCUUUGCUUUGUCUGCUGUUUUAGUAAUGCUCGGUCACCUCUAGUCGGGUAAUGCUCGGUCACCUCUUGUGGCACCAUUUGUCCGAACUGAUCGAAACAGGAAGCAGCGCCGGAGAUGGGAAGGGCGAGGUCAGAGAGGGCGGAGCCGAAGGGAGCAACCGGCGAAUGGCGGAAUAGGGGGACUGGUCAGAACUGAAGGCAAGCUGGAUGGAGUCAAAUGUAAAUGCAGGUCCAGGAAAGAACAUACGGUCCUUCGCUGUGUGAAGAACAGUAUGAUUGCAGAACACAGAGACUUGGAGUCCUGCGACCAAGCUGUCUUUACAUUUUGUGCCUUAGCCCGUCUUCCUUUACUCGCAGCUUUACCAGGGAGCCUGUGUCACCAUGCUGUUCUCCACUUGGCUUAGCGCUGCAAUUUGAUAAAUGUUGACUAGAUACUCCUCCUACUCUCUCUACUUUGAGUAAAUGGGUUUUUUUUUGUUUAUAAAAGCCUUAAGUUGAGGGAGCCUGUUCUCCCCUACCAGUACCCUUCUGUCCCGGACGUACACCAUUAAAGAAUAUAUUAUGGAAUCACUUGGUAUGUCAUCAUUAUUUUUCUUUUUUGGGGGCUGGAAUAAAGAGGGAAACACAAAUCCUCUGUAAUUGUGAUGCUUAGCUUUUAAUAGUCUUUAAUUACAUCAAUACUUUGCUUUCAUAAAUAUAGGGAAAGCGGUUUACAAUCGCUGUACAUUACAUGGCUGUCAGAUAUUUUAAGACUGAAGUGUACUUUUAGCCUGGAUGAUCCCUAUGAAGAGUAAAUCUGGUGGUGUAAAUCUGUCAAUUUCCUGUUAGAGUAAAAUAUUUUGGUUAUAUGGUGCUGUAAUUUCACACCUGCAGGUAUGCAGACU